GAUGAAGAACGUAGCGAAAUGCGAUAAGUAAUGUGAAUUGCAGAAUUCAGUGAAUCAUCGAAUCUUUGAACGCACCUUGCGCUCCUUGGUAUUCCAAAGAGCAUGCCUGUUUGAGUAUCAUUAAAUUAUCAACUGUACCAAUUUGGUUGCAGAUUGGAUGUGGGAGAUUUUGCAGGCUUUUGAUUUCUCUUUUGAGAAAACGGUCAGCUCUCCUGAAAUAUAUUAGCAGUGCCUUUGUUGGUUCAUUAGGUGUGAUAAUUUAUCUACAUCUUCACAUGGUACCUUCAUUUGUGUAAAGGUCAUAUUGCUUCUAAUUGUCUUUGGACAUAAAAAAAAAACAUAUAAUUGUAUGGAAAACUUGAUCUCAAAUCAGGCAGGACUACCCGCUGAACUUAAGCAUAUCAAUAAGCGGAGGA
rnacentral:misc_RNA from 1 species